AGCGUAGACGGCUGUGCAAGUCUGAAGUGAAAGGCAUGGGCUCAACCUGUGGACUGCUUUGGAAACUGUGCAGCUAGAGUGUCGGAGAGGUAAGUGGAAUUCCUAGUGUAGCGGUGAAAUGCGUAGAUAUUAGGAGGAACAUCAGUGGCGAAGGCGGCUUACUGGACUGAAACUGACACUGAGGCACGAAAGCGUGGGGAGCAAACA
rnacentral:rRNA from 1 species